AACUGUUGCCUCGGCGGGAUCUCUGCCCCGGGCGCGUCGCAGCCCCGGACCAAGGCGCCCGCCGGAGGACCAACCAAAACUCUUAUUGUAUACCCCCUCGCGGGUUUUUUACUAUCUGAGCCAUCUCGGCGCCCCUCGUGGGCGUUUCGAAAAUGAAUCAAAACUUUCAACAACGGAUCUCUUGGUUCUGGCAUCGAUGAAGAACGCAGCGAAAUGCGAUAAGUAAUGUGAAUUGCAGAAUUCAGUGAAUCAUCGAAUCUUUGAACGCACAUUGCGCCCGCCAGUAUUCUGGCGGGCAUGCCUGUCCGAGCGUCAUUUCAACCCUCGAACCCCUCCGGGGGGUCGGCGUUGGGGAUCGGCCCUUUACGGGGCCGGCCCCGAAAUACAGUGGCGGUCUCGCCGCAGCCUCUCCUGCGCAGUAGUUUGCACACUCGCAUCGGGAGCGCGGCGCGUCCACAGCCGUUAAACACCCCAAACUUCUGAAAUGUUGACCUCGGAUCAGGUAGGAAUACCCGCUGAACUUAAGCAUAUCAAUAAGCG
rnacentral:rRNA from 1 species